GGCGUAUUCGACUAACGGUUAGGUCGUCACCUUUUCACGGUGGAAACCAGAGUUCGAUUCUCUGAUACGCUAC
rnacentral:tRNA from 6 species